rnacentral:rRNA from 1 species
UACAUGUGGGGCAAGCGUUGUUCGGAAUAACUGGGCUUAAAGGGCGCGUAGGCGGGCCGCCAAGUUCGAGGUGAAAUCCUCCGGCUCAACCGGAGAACUGCCUCGAAUACUGGAGGCCUCGAGGCGGGUAGGGGCGUGCGGAACUGUGGGUGGAGCGGUGAAAUGCGUUGAUAUCCACAGGAACUCCGGUGGCGAAGGCGGCACGCUGGACCCGAUCUGACGCUGAGGCGCGAAAGCCAGGGGAGCAAACGGG